rnacentral:rRNA from 1 species
AUUGAACGCUGGCGGCAGGCUUAACACAUGCAAGUCGAGCGGGGUGAUGGUGCUUGCACUAUCACUUAGCGGCGGACGGGUGAGUAAUGCUUAGGAAUCUGCCUAUUAGUGGGGGACAACAUCUCGAAAGGGAUGCUAAUACCGCAUACGUCCUACGGGAGAAAGCAGGGGAUCACUUGUGACCUUGCGCUAAUAGAUGAGCCUAAGUCGGAUUAGCUAGUUGGUGGGGUAAAGGCCUACCAAGGCGACGAUCUGUAGAGGGUCUGAGAGGAUGAUCCGCCACACUGGGACUGAGGCACGGCCCAGACUCCUACGGGAGGCAGCAGUGGGGAAUAUUGGACAAUGGGGGGAACCCUGAUCCAGCCAUGCCGCGUGUGUGAAGAAGGCCUUAUGGUUGUAAAGCACUUUAAGCGAGGAGGAGGCUCUUUUGGUUAAUACCCAAGAUGAGUGGACGUUACUCGCAGAGUAAGCACCGGCUAACUCUGUGCCAGCCGCCGCCGUAA